rnacentral:lncRNA from 1 species
UAGGGAACAUAUAAACAAAGAAGGGCGAGCGACUAAGUAAUAUAACCGGCCAAGGGUAGGUGGUGCCGGCGUCUUGUGAUCGUGAAUUCGUCCGGCAGCGAUCGGAUCUGACAAGACCGGUCACUACCAGACUAAUUAAUGAGAGUGGUUCUUAGACCAGCACAAAUUCUGGUGGCAGCAUGGCAAUGAUGAUGACUCGGGCGUGACGGCCGCCGUGUGGUGUAUCUUUCAAUGGCACUGACGCCAGCAGUGACUGUUGAAACUCUGGCGAACUUGCAUAAAAAAAUAUAAGAGAUUAAGUAUUAAUUUACUCGUCACAACUUGAAAAGAAUUUAAUUUGAAAUAAAUCAAAAC